rnacentral:rRNA from 1 species
CCUACGGAACGCAGCAGUGAGGAAUAUUGGUCAAUGGGCGGAAGCCUGAACCAGCCAAGUAGCGUGAGGGAAUAAGGCCCUACGGGUCGUAAACCUCUUUUGCCGGGGAGCAAGGGCCGGGACGCGUCCCGGCCCGGAGAGUACCCGGAGAAAAAGCAUCGGCUAACUUCGUGCCAGCAGCCGCGGUAAUAAGGAGGAUGCGAGCGUUAUCCGGAUUUAUUGGGUUUAAAGGGUGCGUAGGCGGGCUUUUAAGUCAGCGGUAAAAAUUCGGGCCUCAACCCCGUCCGGCCGUUGAAACUGGGGGG